rnacentral:rRNA from 1 species
UGGGGAAUUUUGCACAAUGGGGGGAACCUUGAUGCAGCGACGCCGCGUGAGGGAUGGAGGCCUUCGGGUUGUGAACCUCUUUCGCUCGUGUGCAAGCCGCUAUUUGGGUAGUGGUGAGUGUAGCGGGUAAAGAAGCGCCGGCUAACUACGUGCCAGCAGCCGCGGUAAUACGUAGGGCGCGAGCGUUGUCCGGAUUUAUUGGGCGUAAAGGGCUUGUAGGCGGUUUGUCGCGCCUGUCGUGUAAUCCUCUGGCUUAACUGGGGGUGUGCGGUGGGUACAAGCAGGCUUGAGUGCGGUGGGGGAGAGUGGAAUUCCUGGUGUAGCGGUGGAAUUCGCAGAUAUCAGGAGGAACACCGGUGGCGAAGGCGGGUCUCUGGGCCGUUACUGACGCUGGGGAGCGAAAGCGUGGGGAGCGAACAGG